rnacentral:rRNA from 1 species
AGCUUGCUAAAGAUAGUAAAGUGGCGCACGGGUGAGUAACGCGUGGGUAAUCUACCUCCGAAUUGGGGAUAACAUUGCGAAAGCGGUGCUAAUACCGAAUAAUAUCUUUUAAGUUUCGGCUUUUAAGAUCAAAGGUGGUCUCUACAUGUAAACUACUGUUUGGAGAUGAGCCCGCGUACCAUUAGCUUGUUGGUAGGGUAAUGGCCUACCAAGGCCACGAUGGUUAGCUGGUCUGAGAGGAUGAUCAGCCACACUGGAACUGACACACGGUCCAGACUCCUACGGGAGGCAGCAGUGAGGAAUUUUGCGCAAUGGGGGAAACCCUGACGCAGCAACGCCGCGUGAGUGAUGAAGGCUUUCGGGUCGUAAAGCUCUGUCAAGUGGGAAGAAACUGGAAGAUGCUAAUACCAUCUUUCACUGACGGUACCACUGAAGGAAGCACCGGCUAACUUCGUGCCAGCAGCCGCGGUAAGACGAAGGUGGCAAGCGUUGUUCGGUAUUACUGG